GUCUGCAACUCGACUGCGUGAAGGUGGAGUCGCUAGUAAUCGCGGAUCAGCAACGCCGCGGUGAAUGCGUUCCCGGGCCUUGUACACACCGCCCGUCAAGUCAUGAAAGUGGGCAGCACCCGAAGACGGUGGCCUAACCCUUGUGGGGGGAGCCGUCUAAGGUGAGGCUCGUGAUUGGGACUAAGUCGUAACAAGGUAGC
rnacentral:rRNA from 1 species